rnacentral:rRNA from 1 species
UACGAAGGGGGCUAGCGUUGCUCGGAAUUACUGGGCGUAAAGCGCACGUAGGCGGCGCAGCAAGUCAGGGGUGAAAUCCCGGAGCUCAACUCCGGAACUGCCUUUGAAACUGCAGUGCUAGAAUCCUGGAGAGGCGAGUGGAAUUCCGAGUGUAGAGGUGAAAUUCGUAGAUAUUCGGAAGAACACCAGUGGCGAAGGCGACUCGCUGGACAGGUAUUGACGCUGAGGUGCGAAAGCGUGGGGAGCGAACAGG